rnacentral:rRNA from 1 species
UACGGGGGGGGCAAGCGUUGUUCGGAAUUACUGGGCGUAAAGGGCUCGUAGGCGGCCAAUUAAGUCGGACGUGAAAUCCCUCGGCUCAACCGGGGAACUGCGUCCGAUACUGGAUGGCUUGAGUUCGGGAGAGGGAUGCGGAAUUCCAGGUGUAGCGGUGAAAUGCGUAGAUAUCUGGAGGAACACCGGUGGCGAAGGCGGCAUCCUGGACCGACACUGACGCUGAGGAGCGAAAGCCAGGGGAGCAAACGGG